rnacentral:lncRNA from 1 species
UAAGCAUAAAAUAGUCAUUUUUAUUUUAUAAGCAUAAAAUAGUCAUUUUAUGCAGCUUGUGCUUAGGCCUCACUCAGUAAUGCUGUUUUUCAAGACUCAAUUCUGCUUUUGCAAACAGUAUAAGUCUAACGAUGUUUCACAGAUGAUCCAAGAGCUUGUGAGGUUUGCUGCUCACUGGACAGCAAGCAGCUGUCCAGGACUGGAGAGAACCAGUGCAGAAGGCACAGACCAGCCUGUGCAUCUGUAACACAGCACAAGGCUGCUUUUACCCAUCA